rnacentral:lncRNA from 1 species
GUGGAGGCGCGUCCCGGGCCCUUUGCGUGUAGUGGGUGGCUCUGCAAUUGUAUUCCUGUUUCAAGCCCCGUUUUCUUGCAGCUCUUCGGCACUGCAAACUUAACCGCUGAUGGCGCUGUGGGUGGAGAAACGUUUGUUAGGCAACAACAGAAUUCUGCGAAACUUGGGGUGAAAGUCACAGGAGAGACUGGAAAGGGAGGAAGAAAAGAAAAAC